GGCSAGGGAGGARCGCCGGCGGCGYGCCUAAHACAGGCAAGWCGAGCGAGCUGAACCAGCAGAUUCACYYCGGAGAWGACGCYGGGAACGCGAGCGGCGGAAGGGUGAGUAACACGUGGGUAACCYGCCCYAAAGYCHGGGAUACCACUUGGAAACAGGUGCUAAUACCGGAUAACAACAAUAGCUGCAUGGCUAUUGCUUAAVAGGCGGCGAAASUGUCGCUAAAGGAUGGACCCGCGGUGCAUUAGCUAGGUGGUAAGGUAAUGGCUUACCAAGGCGACGAUGCAUAGCCGAGUUGAGAGACUGAUCGGCCACAUUGGGACUGAGACACGGCCCAAACUCCUACGGGAGGCAGCAGUAGGGAAUCUUCCACAAUGGGCGAVAGCCUGAUGGAGCAACGCCGCGUGAGUGAAGAAGGUUUUCGGAUCGUAAAGCUCUGUUGUUGGUGAAGAAGGAUAGAGGUAGUAACUGGCCCCUAUUUGACGGUAAUCAACCAGAAAGUCACGGCUAACUACGUGCCAGCAGCCGCGGUAAUACGUAGGUGGCAAGCSUUGUCCGGMUUUCCYSGGCGUAMMGCGAGCGCAGGCGNAAAGACAAGUCUGAUGUGAUAGCCCCCGGCUUAACCGAGGAAUUGCAUCGGAAACUGUGUUUCUUGAGUGCAGAAGAGGAGAGUGGAACUCCAUGUGUGGCGGUGGAAUGCGUAGAUAUAUGGGAGAACACCAGUGGCGAAGGCGGCUCUCUGGUCUGURACUGACGCUGAGGCUCGAAAGCAUGGGUAGCGAACAGGAUUAGAUACCCUGGUAGUCCAUGCCGUAAACGAUGAGUGCUAAGUGUUGGAGGUUUCCGCCUCUCAGUGCUGCGCUAACGCAUUAAGCACUCCGCCUGGGGAGUACGACCGCAAGGUUGAAACUCAAAGGAAUUGACGGGGGCCGCACAAGCGGUGGAGCAUGUGGBSUAAUUCGAAGCAACGCGAAGAACCUUACCAGGUCUUGACAUCUAGUGCCAUCCUAAGAGAUUAGGAGUUUCUUCGGGGACACUAAGACAGGUGGUGCAUGGCUGUCGUCAGCUCGUGUCGUGAGAUGUUGGGUUAAGUCCCGCAACGAGCGCAACCCKKGUUAUUAGUUGCCAGCAUUAAGUUGGGCACUCUAAUGAGACUGCCGGUGACAAACCGGAGGAAGGUGGGGAUGACGUCAAGUCAUCAUGUCCCUUAUGACCUGGGCUACACACGUGCUACAAUGGGCAGUACAACGAGAAGCGAGCCUGCGAAGGCAAGCGGAUCUCUYAAAGCUGUUCUCAGUUCGGACUGCAGUCUGCAACUCGACUGCACGAAGCUGGAAUCGCURGUAAUCGCGGAUCAGCACGCCGCGGUGAAUACGUUCCCGGGCCUUGUACACACCGCCCGUCACACCAUGGARGUCUGCAWUGCCCGARGCCGGUGGCCUUUCCGCUUAUGUGGARGGWGCCGUCUUWGGCWGGGCAGAUGWCUGGGGUGWUGUCGUAACAAGG
rnacentral:rRNA from 1 species